rnacentral:rRNA from 1 species
UACGAACGCUGGCGGCGUGCUUAACACAUGCAAGUCGAACGGAAAGGCCCUGCUUUUGUGGGGUGCUCGAGUGGCGAACGGGUGAGUAACACGUGAGUAACCUGCCCUUGACUUUGGGAUAACUUCAGGAAACUGGGGCUAAUACCGGAUAGGAGCUCCUGCUGCAUGGUGGGGGUUGGAAAGUUUCGGCGGUUGGGGAUGGACUCGCGGCUUAUCAGCUUGUUGGUGGGGUAGUGGCUUACCAAGGCUUUGACGGGUAGCCGGCCUGAGAGGGUGACCGGCCACAUUGGGACUGAGAUACGGCCCAGACUCCUACGGGAGGCAGCAGUGGGGAAUAUUGCACAAUGGGCGGAGGCCUGAUGCAGCAACGCCGCGUGCGGGAUGACGGCCUUCGGGUUGUAAACCGCUUUCGCCUGUGACGAAGCGUGAGUGACGGUAAUGGGUAAAGAAGCACCGGCUAACUACGUG